rnacentral:rRNA from 1 species
UGGUAACCUGCCCUUGGUUGGGAUAACUCCUCGAAAGGGGUGCUAAUACCGGAUAACAUUUCGAUCUCCACGGGGAUUGAAAUCAAAGGUGGCCUCUGCAUGCAAGCUACUGCCUGGGGGAUGGGCCCCGCGUACCAUUAGCUAGUUGGUAGGGGUAACGGCCUACCAAGGCUGCGAUGGUUAGCUGGUCUGAGAGGAUGGCCAGCCACACUGGAACUGAGACACGGUCCAGACUCCUACGGAGGCAGCAGUGGGGAAUCUUGCGCAAUGGGGGAAACCCUGACGCAGCAACGCCGCGUGGGUGAUGAAGGCCUUCGGGUCGUAAAGCCCUGUCAGGUGGGAAGAAACCCAUCGGUGCGAAUAGCACCGGUGAUUGACGGUACCACCGGAGGAAGCACCGGCUAACUCCGUGCCAGCAGCCGCGGUAA